rnacentral:misc_RNA from 1 species
UUUCCGUAGGCGAACCUGCGGAAGGAUCAUUACAGAGUUCAUGCCCUCACGGGUAGAUCUCCCACCCUUGAAUAUUUAUACCUUAGUUGCUUUGGCAGGCCGUGGAAACACCAUGGGCUCCGGCUUAUGCGUGCCUGCCAGAGGAAACAAACUCUGUUUUUAGUGAUGUCUGAGUACUAUAUAAUAGUUAAAACUUUCAACAACGGAUCUCUUGGUUCUG